UUACCAGGGCUUGACAUCCCCUGACCGCGUAUGAAAGUACGUUUUCACCUCGGGUGACAGGGAGACAGGUGGUGCAUGGUUGUCGUCAGCUCGUGUCGUGAGAUGUUGGGUUAAGUCCCGCAACGAGCGCAACCCCUACGUUUAGUUGCUAACGCGUGAAGGCGAGCACUCUAGACGAACUGCCGUUGACAAACGGAGGAAGGUGGGGAUGACGUCAAAUCAUCAUGCCCCUUAUGUUCUGGGCUACACACGUGCUACAAUGGCCGGUACAGACGGACGCAAAGCCGCGAGGUGGAGCAAAUCCUAAAAAGCCGGUCUCAGUUCGGAUUGCAGGCUGCAAUUCGCCUGCAUGAAGUCGGAAUCGCUAGUAAUCGCAGGUCAGCAUACUGCGGUGAAUACGUUCCCGGGCCUU
rnacentral:rRNA from 1 species